ensembl:lncRNA novel transcript, antisense to PCDHGB1
GCCUUUUGCAACGAAACGUGGUGCAUUGUCAUUAAUAUCUUGGAUUACAACAACCACGUGGAAAACAUUCAUUGGGUUUUCAGCGACCGUUUCGAAUUCUAGUGCACACUCAAGUUUCCUUCCGCAAAUCUUCUCUCGAUCUAUCCUACCGUUCACUAACAAAUCCCCGCUCUCCAAACUAACGUUGAAAUAAUCCUCUGCACUAACCCGCAGUUUUCGAGUUGGCAACUCCCGGACACUGAGCCCCAGAUCCUUGGCAAGUUUCCCCACCCGUGAGCCGUUGGCUAGCUCCUCUGGAAUCGUGUAUCGGAUCUGCUGGGAGAUGGCCCCGCAGAACAAAGACAGCAGGAAGGGAAACAGUACCUGACUUUUCAUCAUUUCGGCUUCUCUGGCUCUCUGCAUUUCAGGAACUCUCCGCGGAGCUUCUUUCCUCUGGGAUGUUUUUCAAAAAGAAAUGGCAGCACCCUGGACUUCUGUGAUUUGAGCUUAGGACUUAUUAGUUAGGCGCUCGAGGGUGAACAGGAGCAGCGUCUGUGCUCAGUGCACCGGACAAA